rnacentral:ribozyme from 18 species
AGAAACCAGCAUAAAGGUUCUGCAGAGGAAAGUUUUGUUUUUAUCUUUUUUUCUUUUUCUUUUCUUUUCUUUUUUUUU